UACGUAGGGUGCAAGCGUUAAUCGGAAUUACUGGGCGUAAAGCGUGCGUAGGCGGUUUUUUAAGUCUUCCGUGAAAUCCCCGGGCUCAACCUGGGAAUUGCGAUGGAGACUGCAAGGCUAGAAUCUGGCAGAGGGGGGUAGAAUUCCACGUGUAGCAGUGAAAUGCGUAGAGAUGUGGAGGAACACCGAUGGCGAAGGCAGCCCCCUGGGUCAAGAUUGACGCUCAUGCACGAAAGCGUGGGGAGCAAACAGG
rnacentral:rRNA from 1 species